rnacentral:rRNA from 1 species
UACGUAGGGUGCGAGCGUUUGUCCGGAAUUAUUGGGCGUAAAGAGCUCGUAGGCGGCUUGUUGCGUCGACCGUGAAAACCCGCGGCUUUAACUGCGGGCUUGCGGUUGAUACGGGCGGGCUAGAGUUCGGUAGGGGAGACUGGAAUUCCUGGUGUAGCGGUGAAAUGCGCAGAUAUCAGGAGGAACACCGGUGGCGAAGGCGGGUCUCUGGGCCGAUACUGACGCUGAGGAGCGAAAGCGUGGGGAGCGAACAGG